GGUGGCGUCGGUGCCGCCGCACGCGCCGCACUUGUCUAUGACCUUCCCGGAGCCCAGGAAUCCAUCGCAGCCUGGACUCUGUGAGGGGGACCAAGAGAGGAACAUUAGAUGGCUAGUUCAUGCUAAAGAGUAAACAGCUGAAAAGUGCAUCAGCAACUGUGGCUCUCCUUUCCCAUCUGUAAGGCAUUGCGGGUCGCGGGCGUGCUGGAGCCUAUCCCAUCUAUCUCCGGGCGAGAGGCGGGGUACACCCUGAACUGGUCGCCAGCCAAUCACAGGGCACAUACAAACAAACAACCAUUCACACUCACAUCCUCACACCUACGGGCAAUUUAGAGUCUUCAAUUAACCUACCAUCCAUGUUUUUGGGAUGUGGGCGGAAACCGGACUGCCCGGAGAAAACCCACGCAGGCACGGGGAGAACAUGCAAACUCCACACAGGCGGGGCGGAAAUUUGAACCCUGGUCCUCAGAACUGAGAGGCGGAUGUGCUAACCAGUCACCACCGUGCUCCCGUGUCACAUUUUUAAUAAAGAAAAAUAACACUAUAUUUUAUAAAAACUGGUUUGAUUACCAAUAGAUGGCUCAAAACUCUGAAAAAACUACCAGGCUACAGCACUGUCCUAGAUCAAGGUCCCAAUGCAGUCGAUAUUUCACGAUGCAGCAAUAAUAAACAUAUUCAUACAGUAUACUCAUGACUUGACUGAUUCACCAUUUUCUUUUCUUGCAAGCCAAAAGCUAAGAGCUGAUGUGUUGUUGGAUGCACAUAUUAGCGUGCUUGCUAACUCGUUCAGGAGUCUCCUCUCGCUCUAGUUCCAACACACAGUACAUACAUAAACUCACAAAAAUUGGAGGAUAAACCUAAAAUGCACUAUAACCUUUAAUGGUGACCUUAAUUUGACCUUCUUCAAACUUUUGAAUGCACAGAUCAAACUGUUCAGUGUUUCAGUACUUUUUGCACAACUUCCUCUCUAACAAGGCGCUGAACAGCAAAAUUCACAACAGCUGAUUCCAUCUGUAAAAUCUAUUUCCAUGCCUUUCUGUGACUCCUCCUUUCUCUCUGGAUCACCUGCUGGUGAUACUGUGACACUCUAAACUCAGUGGCCACUCCCUUCUGAGAACAUCCGGCUUGAGGCCUCGCAAUAGCGAGGUACUGUUCAUCAUUUAUUAGGUGUCUCAUGAUAACAAAAUGUAAACACCAUGAAUGAGAGGACUGUUGAAAUUCCAAUUCUAAUUGAAUCAGGAACUGUAUUCGUCCAUUCAUGGAUCAAACACCUGUUGUGAAUUUUGCCAUUAAGCUCCCUGUUAGAGAACAGUAAGUUGUACAAAAAGUAUUCAAAUAUGUAACUGUGGGACUUGUGCAUUCAAACGUUUUUUUAUGUUCACCUUAAAUUUCACACAAAAAUAUAUAUAUCACCAAUAUCCCAAACUUUCUGUUAGUAAAGUAUAUUGAUAUAAAAAUAUAUAGCAUACAUAGCAUCUAAAUAGCAUUAGCAUCAUUAUUUAAACUUUUGACAAAAAGGCCUUUUUUAUUUUAGCAAUUCUACAAUUUUUCUCGUAAUAUUUCCACUUUUAUCUUGUUAUGUGACUUUCCUCAUCAAAUUAAGUCUUUAAUAUUGGAAUAUUUUCCCCUAAUUUUCAUAUUAUGAUAACCAGUUUCUUCAAAACAAUAAUUUCACUCUCACAACCAUACAUUUUUAUCCUCAAAUUACAAACAUUCCCAUACGCUCCAACUACCAACAAACUUCAGAUUUAUGACCGGGGGUGGACCCUCUGACCCUCUGACCCUUGCAUUAACGACCUCAGGCACUUCACAUGGUCUAUCAAGUCGCGCUGAGCUAAAACCAGCUCCAACACAGGCAGUGGCAGGUUAAUUCCAGCUAGAGCCACCAUCACCAUCUCUACGCCUUCAGAAUCUCUAUGAGAGAGAAGACCUCGUAGUAGGGUCCGAGUUGGCACCAAGACAGAAAACUUUCACUGGCGCUACCCUGGCGUCCAAUUAAUCCAAACCAACUGCAACAUCCCAACAAAGUCUUCUAGUUCUUACAGUGUUCCAGC